UUCCUCCAAGUGUUAUAGCCUCUAUUUCACACUGCUGCUAAUAAGAAAGAGAUCAAUUUUGCUCUCUUGUAGAUCCGAGACAAAGACAAUGAGAAAGCUACUGAUGAGGAUCCAAACUAUGCCUUAUUUAAAGUCUAUGCUGAUCAGAAUGAUGAGCUGCUUGCUGUACAACUCCAGAAGCUCCUGAAUGACAGAUUCCCUCAUGGUAAGAUGAACAUGUGUGCUAUGAAAAGGUUCCAAAUCAUCAUUCAUAUCUUGUUGUUGUUUGUUUGCUUUUAUAGUGAAAAUUAAUGUUUUUCAACAGGGAGUGGCCACAGGGGCUUUAGUCUGGAUGCCUGCAGGAGUAUGAUUGCCUUGGUGGAUGUAUCCUAAAUUAUACAGUUAUUUUCCUUUGGCUUUUAUGUGAUGCCACACCCAAAAUGAUCAAACUGACAACUGGCCACAUUUCUAUUAGGAGUAAGAACUUUUUUGUAAGAUAUCCUUAACCUGCACAGCUCGAUCAAAGGAUGACGAUGACCUUUACUGAAUUCUCAAUUCUCUGGAAGAAGAUUCAAGAAUACAAAAAUCUCUUUCAUCGCUCUGAUGUGAAUGAAAAUGGAUCCCUGUCUGAUGAUGAGCUCCAGAAUGCGAUUAAAGCUGCAGGAAUGGAUGUGAAUGAUGCCAGUGUGGGGCUGAUGAUGUCUCGAUAUUCAGGCUUCUCCACCACCUCUUUGGAGGAGUUCAUCACUCUCAUGUUGCGCCUGGAUAAGAUGUCAGACAUUUUCAAGGGCAAAUCAUCUGAUGGUGUGAUCCACCUGAACUGGGAUGAGGCGAGUAUAUUUAAUACCACUUAAUACUCUUUAAUGGUGCACUUUAAUAAAAGUGUCACUAUUAAUUAACCUUUGCUAUUGUGUGUAAUUAUAAUAUUAGGAUAAGUAAGAAUUGCCUUUUACUAUUAUAGGUGUGUUAAGUGUAAGUGUGUUAAGAAAAUUACUCUUUCAGUCGUUUAUUCAUGCAUAAU
rnacentral:lncRNA from 1 species